rnacentral:rRNA from 1 species
ACGUACACUCCUGCGGGAGGCAGCAGUGGGGAAUUUUACGCAAUGGGGGAAACCCUGACGUAGCGACACCGCGUGAGCGAAGAAGCCCUUUGGGGUGUAAAGCUCUGUCAGCUGGAACGAAAACAAUGACGGUACCAGCAGAGGAAGCAUCGGCUAACUACGUGCCAGCAGCCGCGGUAAGACGUAGGAUGCGAGCGUUGUCCGGAUUUAUUGGGCGUAAAGAGUUCGUAGGUGGUUUGUUAAGUUUGGUGUUAAAGAUCGGGGCUCAACCCUGGGACUGCACUGAAUACUGGCAGACUCGAGUGUGGUAGAGGCUAGUGGAAUUCCCAGUGUAGCGGUGAAAUGCGUAGAUAUUGGGAAGAACACCGGUGGCGUAGGCGACUAGCUGGGCCAUAACUGACGCUGAGGAACGAAAGCCAGGGGAGCGAAUGGGAUUAGAUACCCGGGUAGUCCCA